rnacentral:rRNA from 1 species
GCGUGCCUAAUACAUGCAAGUCGAACGCACAGCGAAAGGUGCUUGCACCUUUCAAGUGAGUGGCGAACGGGUGAGUAACACGUGGACAACCUGCCUCAAGGCUGGGGAUAACAUUUGGAAACAGAUGCUAAUACCGAAUAAAACUUAGUGUCGCAUGACACAAAGUUAAAAGGCGCUUCGGCGUCACCUAGAGAUGGAUCCGCGGUGCAUUAGUUAGUUGGUGGGGUAAAGGCCUACCAAGACAAUGAUGCAUAGCCGAGUUGAGAGACUGAUCGGCCACAUUGGGACUGAGACACGGCCCAAACUCCUACGGGAGGCUGCAGUAGGGAAUCUUCCACAAUGGGCGAAAGCCUGAUGGAGCAACGCCGCGUGUGUGAUGAAGGCUUUCGGGUCGUAAAGCACUGUUGUAUGGGAAGAACAGCUAGAAUAGGAAAUGAUUUUAGUUUGACGGUACCAUACCAGAAAGGGACGGCUAAAUACGUGCCAGCAGCCGCGGUAAUACGUAUGUCCCGAGCGUUAUCCGGAUUUAUUGGGCGUAA